rnacentral:lncRNA from 1 species
CAUCAUUCACUCACUAAAAAAUCACAUCCUUGCAUUUGCCAAAACCAGUCAAAAAAACUUCCAAGAGAAACAAAGCCUGGCCUUGCUUGAUACCAUAUCCUCCAUCAUGUUUCUGUCAUGAGUAACACUUAGCAGCCAUCAAACAUAACACAGCAGACCAACUUCUUUCAUUUUCUCAAACAUCAUCUUGGAUGCAUUUCUAAUUUUCUGUCAAAAAAAAAAACCUCCAAAAA